UGGGGAAUAUUGCACAAUGGGCGAAAGCCUGAUGCAGCAACGCCGCGUGAGUGAUGAAGGCCUUCGGGUUGUAAAGCUCUGUCUUUUGGGACGAUAAUGACGGUACCAAAGGAGGAAGCCACGGCUAACUACGUGCCAGCAGCCGCGGUAAUACGUAGGUGGCAAGCGUUGUCCGGAUUUACUGGGCGUAAAGGAUGCGUAGGCGGAUUUUUAAGUGAGAUGUGAAAACCCUAAGCUUAACUUGGGGACUGCAUUUCAUACUGGAAAUCUAGAGUGCGGGAGAGGAGAAUGGAAUUCCUAGUGUAGCGGUGAAAUGCGUAGAGAUUAGGAAGAACACCAGUGGCGAAGGCGAUUCUCUGGACCGUAACUGACGCUGAGGCAUGAAAAGCGUGGGUAGCAAACAGGAUUAGAUACCCCUGGUAGUCCACGCCGUAAACGAUGAGUACUAGGUGUAGGAGGUAUCGACCCCUUCUGUGCCGCAGUUAACACAAUAAGUACUCCGCCUGGGAAGUACGAUCGCAAGAUUAAAAAGCUCAAAUGAAUUGACGGGGGUCAUAGCUGUUUUCCU
rnacentral:rRNA from 1 species